AGCGAACGCUGGCGGCAGGCCUAACACAUGCAAGUCGAGCGCCCAGCAAUGGGAGCGGCAGACGGGAUAGUAACACGUGGGAACGUACCUUUCAGUUCGGAACAACCCAGGGAAACUUGGGCUAAUACCGAAUACGUCCGUAAGGAGAAAGAUUUAUCGCUGAAAGAUCGGCCCGCGUCUGAUUAGCUAGUUGGUGAGGUAAUGGCUCACCAAGGCGACGAUCAGUAGCGGUCUGAGAGGAUGAUCAGCAUCACUGGGACUGAGACACGGCCCAGACUCCUACGGGAGGCAGCAGUGGGGAA
rnacentral:rRNA from 1 species